rnacentral:lncRNA from 1 species
AGACCAGUCUGGCCAAUAUUGUGAAACCCUGUCACUACUAAAAAUACAAAAAUUAACUGGGCAUGGUGUUGAAUACCUGUAGUCUCAGCUACACAGGAGGCUGAGGUGGGAGAAUCACAGAACUCAGGAGGCAGAGGUUUCAGUGAGCUAAGAUCAGGACAGUGCAUUCCAGCCUGAGCAACAGGGUGACUCCAUCUCAAAAACAAAACAAGAAUGUAUGCUGACAAAUGAAAAAAAAAUCUGAAAGGUAACAAAAUUGUAUUACUAGGCUGUUAACAUGAUAUUUUGUUUCUCAUUAAACAGGUCUCUACUAACUGAUGAAAUCAUUAGAAAAGACAGUUCCUUGCUUGCCCUGCAUCUACUGAGCCCUGCCACAGCCUUCCGUGAGCCUCAGGCAGGGCACAUUGCAGAGUGGCCAACAUACCAGAGAUACUCAACAACCUUGUUUUGGAUGAGCAACCAAAUGAGCCUAUUCAUUAACUCGAGAGUUGCUCACCGAGGAUUUCUUGGGCCUCUCUGAUGUGCCAGACCCUGUGGGCACAUAGAAAUAAAUGAGACUGCAUUCCUGCCUCAAAUUCAGAGAAUAUGUCCCUGACCUCUCCCCAGGAGAGGCUCUCAGGCAAUCUCAUGAGCAAAACAUGGUACAGGGUGAUGCCUCCUAGAGGAGGAAGGAAGUUUCUUUUGUGUUCCCACAAAUAGAAAUUAAACAAAACCUCCCCUAGCCACAUGCCCUUACACCAAAUUUCAUUACCAGAUACGAACCCCCUGGUUCAUGCAGAACUGUAAUGUUUUGGGGUGAUGAGAAGGUGUCACUCCUUGGGCCUCAGGCAGAGAUAAACAGUUUGCCAAGCUCUCGUACUACCCCAGGGAGAAGGAAUACAUUAUCAACCUCAGUUAUUCACACCUCAUCAUGGAUAACUUUAUUAAUCUGAUCUGAAAUAAAGCAAUGUUGAGCAGAAGGGGAGGAGCUGGAGAGUUUCAGCUCUUGAGACCAGGUGUCUCAUAGAGAAGGAGAGAGAAAGAGGAACUGGAAGGACACUCUCCACUUCUGCCUCAGCAUGCCCGGAGACCACAGGGCUUGGGAUCGGCCAACUGAGUCUGAUUUGCUUGGCCCUGUCUGCUUGGGUAGCUGUGGCCGAGGUACCUAAGCUUUCAGAAUCAGUUUACUUAUCUAUAAGAGGGGAGGAAAUAUCUUUGGCCAAGCUUGUUGCAAGGAUGAAAACAAAAUUUGGAGGCUGACUGUCCAUAUGGGCUUUCCAUACAUGGCGCCCACAGUUAUGAGGCAGCUGGGGGAACACUCAAAUGGUCAUGAGGAGGAGCGUG